ACCGCGCCCAGCCACCUGCUCCUAUGUGAGAAAGGGGCGGCGAACAGUGGCUUAGACACCUUGUGCCACGUGCAGGGUUCAUGCGUGUGGGACUCACGUCAGGAGCGACCAGCUGGAUGGUUUUCCUGGGAGGACUGCUGAUGUCACUAACUUGGGGUGUUUUGAGUUGCUUGGAUUAUUGGAAAAGGAUGUUACAAGGCUGUACAGAGGGCAGCUGAGGGGGCAGACCAGGGUCUGGUGGAAGGCGAAGUGGCCCCCAAAGAUGUCCCAGCCCUGAUCCCUGGUAGCUGGGAAGUUAUGUUACAAGACAAAAGGAAAUUUGCAGAUGUAAUUAGGAUUACGAACCUUAAAACAGGGAGGGAGAUUAUCAUAGACGUGGCUGGGAUAGUGGGUCUGGUCCAGUCCCAUGAGCCGUAAGAGCAGAGAAGGGCUUUCUCCGGUUGGAAGCAGAAGAGAGACCAGGCUGAAUGGGAAGCCAGAGUUUCCAGGUGUGAGGACUGGACAGGCUGCUGCCGGCUCCGAGACACGGGCCCACGGGCAAGGACAGAGACAGGCCUCUACUUGCUAAGGCUGGACCCUGGCUGCCAGCCAACCAGGGACCAGGGACUUCAGUCCCACAGCCACAGAAACCAGAUCCCACUGACCACCAGCACGGACUCAGAAGGCAACUCACGUGCAGAACUUCCGGAAAGCAAACCCACCCGGCAGGCACCAGGCCCCCUCCAGCCACCCUCAGGCGUGCGGGGCUGCAGCUAGAGAGGGGUCCAGGGUCGGGCUCGGGCCUGUCGGACCCUCCCCUCCACAGUCCAAGUGACCUGGCCAGUGGCAGGACGGAGGCCUGAGAGGUGAUGUCGUUCAGGGAACUGGGAGGGCUGCGGCGCUGGCUGACGGUGAUGGGUGUGUGUGAGAACCUGAAUAUAUGAGGGUGCGGUGGAGGCAGCGCCCUCCCCCAUUGUUUACUGGGGUGUGACUUGAGCACCUCACAAGCACAGGCAGUGCCUCAGCCGCUUGCUCUGAGGGGCCGACCAUGCCCACCAGCCUGCGGCCCGUGGCGGCUGGCCCACUGUGUGCCAGGCACCCUGAGCCCUGCGUUUCUAGUGGCUCCAACUCUCGCACAGGUGACCCGGUGGAUACUGCUGUCCUCUGUGUGAGGGAGGAAGCGAGGGAACUGUCAUGGCCCACGAGCCUGUUCGCCUCCAGAAGUGGCUCCCAACCCCAGGCUCCUUCCAGCAAACCCUUGGAAAGGUCAUAGAGCCUGGCUGCCCCAGGCCUCGAGGGGAAGAGCGUGGGGGGCGGCAGGGUGGACAGGGCCCCUUGGGUCAUUCCGAGGGUUCAGGUUCACCUGGGAGGGUCUGCCCUGCGGAGAGGUAGGAGCCCCUGUGGCAGGAAGAAGGGAUCCUCAGGGCUCCUAGCCAGGGCCAGGGGAGUGGCUCAAGUCACAUGGAGACCGUGGGCUUGGGAUGCUCAGGAGUCGGGGACCAGGAGGGUCUGCAGGCUCACUGGCUGUGGGUGGAAAGUGAGGGCCGUGAGAGUGGCCUGAGCAGCUUGGUGGGGGCCGCAGGAGCCGGGUGGGCCUGGGGUGAGGUGAGGAGGCGACAGGGGAUGCAGCUGGAGUGCUGAGCUGCAGGGUUCCGUUUGAGGGACACGGGUCCCAUGGGAGCAUCCACUGGACUCAGGCGUCCAGGCAGUGAUGCCUUGCGCUUGGCUCUAGCCCUGGCUGCCUGGACAAACAGGGGCCUUUCCAGGCAGGGCGUUGUGGUGCAGACAAGGGCAGCCAACUGCGUGACAAGGAGGACAGCCACAGGGCAGCAGAGAGGAAGUGAGAGCUUGUGGGAGAGGUCAUGUCUGGUGUGGGAGCGAGCGGGUUCCCCUCAAUCCAGGAGUGGGCCUCAGGGCACAGGGCACAGGUGGGUUCACAGCCUGGCUGGGUGGCACCCUCUCUGCCCAGCGCCCCUGCAGGACCACAGCCGCCCUGGUGGGACCAGCACAGGUGCCCGGCAGAGGGAAGCAGAGGAGCCCCUGAUGUCUGGCUGCUGUCGUCCGUCUGUCCAUGCUGGGCUGCAGCUGGUGUGACCUCCACUGUGCUCUUGUUUUUGCCUCCGUCCCUGCAGCCUGCACCCUAAGCCCAGCUCUACAAGGAUCUGGAGGACAGGACACCACAGCGGCGGGGACCCGGGCAGACACCAGCAGGCACCGUCUGUGUCCACUACACACUCCUGCUGAUGUGGUGUGGUGAAGACAAGUCUGCCCAGAAACAACACCACGAGGCAGGGAGACCGGAGGUGGAGGGACCCUGGGGAGGGCGGCCCAGGCCCGGCGGGCACCUGCUUCUGCCGCUGCCUCCCUCUGCAGCCCUCGGGCGUGACUGUUGCCGCUGCUGCCCCUGCUGGAAUCCCCAGUUCUAGCCAUUCUCAUUUCCGGGCCUCCAAGGUCAUUCAUCAAACAUAUUUGUCUCCACAAUAUCCAAGUUCGUGGCAGCAGCCGCUCCAGACAGCCUGCCACCGCUGCAGCAGGGAGGUGCCACCAGGACUACACACUGCAUGGAGCUGGCAGGAGCCCUGCCCCUUCCGAGUUGCAAGCCUGCAACUUUUGCAGCCACCCAAGUUGUAACUGCAGAUCUGAGUCUUCCUGUGGUCUUCCAGGGCAAGCAGGUAGGAGCCCUGCUCUCCCGGGUGCCACUGCAGCCACCGAAACUGUGUCUGCAGCUUCAGGCAUCCCUCCACUCUUGGGGGCCUGGGAAGGCCCCCCUGCCCCCACUGCCUGGCUUCUCCCUGCUGUUGGCUGUCAACACCCACUCUGAUCUCGGAGCAAAGUUGGGCUGAGCAGGGGCCAUGAAUGGCAGUGGGAGGCAGAUUCCUGGGCAGAAGCCGGCGGGUCAGACCAGGGAGAGCCUGAAGGCUGAAGGCCAGGCUGCCAGAUCCACAGACCAGAGUGGGGACUUGUGGUACCUUUUCUGGGUGCCCAUGCACCAAUCGGCAUGCAUUUCCUCCUCUCUGAGGUCCACAAACACCCCAGGCUCAACCAGAGCAAGGCAGAGGAUGGAGAAGCAACCGGAGACUAGAUGACCAGCUGCAGAGGAGCUACCCUCUCUGCUGAGAGCUGGGAAGUCAACAGGGACUUGCCUGCAGAGUGGAGCCACCCACUCCAGGGCCGCCGGGGCCUCCUCUCUACAGAGAGCUGAACGCUGGAGGAGAUGACCUGCCUACAGAGAGGAGCUGCCCACUGUGGGUCUCCUCCCAGCUGUCCUAAGAUUCAAUAAAGCUUUUCUUUGUCUUGCUCACC